UACGGGGGGGGCAAGCGUUGUUCGGAAUUACUGGGCGUAAAGGGCUCGUAGGUGGCCAACUAAGUCGGACGUGAAAUCCCUCAGCUUAACUGGGGAACUGCGUCCGAUACUGGAUGGCUUGAGUUUGGGAGAGGGAUGCGGAAUUCCAGGUGUAGCGGUGAAAUGCGUAGAUAUCGAGAGGAACACCUGCGGCGAAGGCGGGUUGCUGGGCCGACACUGACGCUGAUGCGCGAAAGCCAGGGGAGCGAACGGG
rnacentral:rRNA from 1 species